AUGUUCCCAAAGUUGGACAAUUCCCAGCUCCGGUGUCACCCCAGGUCAGACAUUUUCCAGCUCCAAUGUCCCCAACAUCAGACUUUUCCAGCUCCUGGUGUUGCCCCAGGUCGGAUGAUUCCCGGCUCCGGUGUCCCCAAAGAUGGACAAUCCCCAGCUCUUGGUGUCCCCCCAGGUCGGAUGAUUCCCAACUCCGAUGUUAUUCGAGGACAGAUGUUUCCUGGCUUUGAUGUUGCCCCAGGUUGCACGUUCCCCAGCUCCGAUGUCCCCAACAUCAGACUUUUCUCAGCUCCGAUGUCACCCCAGGUCGGAUGUUUCCCAGCUUUUGGGGACCCCCAGGACGAACGUUUCCCAGCUCCGGAUGGCCUCAACAUGAGAUGUUUCCCUGCUCCAGGAGACCCCCAAGGUCAGACGUUUCCUGGUUUCGACGUUGCCCCGAAGUCGGACGUUUCCCAGCUCCCACGUUCCUCAACACGUGUUGGAUGUUUCCCGGCUCUGAUGUCCCCCAACAUCAGAUGUUUCCUGCCUCCGACGUCCCCCCAGGUCAGACAUUUGCUGUCGCCGCUGCUGUCCUUGUUCAUUGGCUCCGGUGUCCCCCCAGGUCGGACAGUUGUUGGCUCUGACAUCCGCUUCGGUGUUGGUCAGCUCCUAUGUCCCCCACGUUGGACGUUUGCCGGCGCCGGCGCUUUUGGUGUUUGCCAGUUCCAGUAUCGGCUGCUUUUGGUGUCCACCAGCCCCAAUAUCUGCCACGUUUGGUGUCCACCAGCUCCAGGAGCCGCAGGUCGGACAUUUCGUGGCUCUCAACUUCCCCCAGGUCAGACAUUUUCCAGUGCCAAAACCCACCAGUUUUGGGGUCCACCAGCUCCAACAUCUACCAGUUUCAGCGUCCACCAGCUCCAACACCCGCAGGUCGGACGUUUCCCCGUCUCCGCUGCCCACUGGCUUCCAACGUCCCCCACGUCAGGCACUUUCCAGUGCCGAAAACCACCGCUUUUGGUGUUUGCUGGCUCCAUCUCCUACAGGUUGGACGUCCCACAGCUUGGACGUCCACUGGCUUCAACGUCCCCCAGGUCCAACAAUUCUCCCAUAAUCAGAGCCCUAUGGGUGCUCCUGCCCCAUAACCAGACACCUAUGGGUUCUUCCAGCCCAUAACUGGACCCUUACGGGUGCUCCCACCCCAUAACU
rnacentral:lncRNA from 1 species